GCAUCGAUGAAGACACGCAG
rnacentral:rRNA from 1 species